rnacentral:lncRNA from 1 species
UUAACUAACUAAACGGCUACCAUUAUGGUAUGGGGGCAAACAAAGCGCUUGAAAAUGGAGAAAUGUGUUUUUGAUUGUUCAAUUAAUGUUAAUAGUCAUCCGAACUUGAUUUUUUAUAUUUUGCUUCCUGAUCCAAAAAGAAGAAAAUCGGGGCUUUAUGCUUUAUAUAGAACUGAUUCAUCUUGCAAAAACAAACUUUGGUCGCAAAACAUGUCUAAAAUAUUAUGUACAAAAAAGUCAUUGCAAUAAAUCUCAAGUUAUUCAAGUCAGUGAACAAAUAAGUACUGACAAUUCGUUGACUGGAGUGGAAGAUGUUAGUGUCUUGAACCAACAUGAAACAACAAGUUAACUUAGCUGAGAAUGAUGGUAGUUUAAAAAUAAUGCAGCAUUGGCUAGGAUUGUUCCUAGGUCACAAAAACAAUCUUACAAAUAGAGAGUUUCUGCUGUUGUCACUGGUUUUAGAGAGUACCUUCGUGAAUGAAGAUAAAAAGUCAUUUAUGUUAUUUUUUAAAAGCCAAGACAUAAUAUUGUUAAUACUCAUACUAUUUACUAAAAAACUUUAUAAAUAUUGUUACGAUGUUAUAAUUCAAGUUGUUGUAAUUAGUAAUUUUGAUCAUUUCAUUAUUAUACUGUAAAAAAUAUUUUUUAUUUAUAACAUUUAUUUCACAUAUAUUAAAAACAUGAGGAAUAAAUAUUACACUGAGGAAAAUUUUAAGCAAAAUAUAGAAUUUUUAAAUGUUAUUAGAAUAUCAAUAUGUAAUA